rnacentral:rRNA from 1 species
UACAGAGGGUGCGAGCGUUGUCCGGAAUCACUGGGCGUAAAGGGCGCGUAGGUGGCCCGGUAAGUAGGGGGUGAAAUCUCGAGGCUCAACUUCGAGGCUGCCUCCUAAACUGCCAGGCUUGAGCAGAGUAGAGGCAGGUGGAAUUCCCGGUGUAGCGGUGGAAUGCGUAGAGAUCGGGAAGAACAUCGGUGGCGAAGGCGAGUCUCUGGGAUGAUGCUGACGCUGAGGCGCGAAAGCCAGGGGAGCAAACGGG